GGGUGAUUAGCUCAGUUGGUAGAGCAGCUGACUCUUAAUCAGCGGGUCGCAGGUUCGAUCCCUGCAUCACCCA
rnacentral:tRNA from 2 species